CCCUCCCUUCCCUCCUCGCCUGCUGCUGAGAUGCAGCAGUGCCUGAGUGCUGUGAUCCUCCCUGCUCUGUUGCUACCGCUGCUGAGGGAGGGGACUGGCUGGCCCACGCUGUUUCCACCCAAGUAGUGAAGCGCACAAAGAGAAGCCUCCUUGCCCUCUUCUCCUAUUGCCUACGAAGAAUAGAGCAUUAGCUCUGAUGCUGUUGAGUCAGGUCAUAAAUUGACAUCUCAAGACCUGGAAUGAGAGCCAUCCCUGCUAUUGAACCAUGUGAAAUCAAGAGCUGAGGAGAAGAUGUGCCAAAUGCACUGCUGCUAAAAAGACAGUAUCCUGACUCCAACAGUAAGACAGCAAAUCUUUUCUGUACUAAUCCCACUGCCGGGGAGGAGAUAUUCCUUGAUAAAUCACCAGCAAGCUCAUGGUCUGAACCAGCUGCUCUAGUGCCUAAAUCCCAACACUCCUGCCUCUGAAAGACACACAACUUUUUGACUAUGCAUUCCAAGAAACUGAGAACUCCGUACUCCAAGUGAGUAUCAGUAACCCUGGAUUAAGAGAGGAUUCGCAGCAGACUGCAACCUUCUCCAGCUCACGCAGGGAUAAACCACCUGCUGUUGGAAAAGCUAGCAGAAAAUUCACUCUUUUUGGAAAACAGCACUUGCAGAGACCAAAGCUAUACAGUCCCUUGCAGAUCAGUUUGAAAGAACAACCAAAGCAUUUCACCUUCCAAAGGAAGCGGCCUACUAGAAGGAGCCAAGGAUUUUGAAGACAAAAUAGAAGAUUGGUGGCCAUGUAAAAUACAAAUCCAGUGCUUGUUAAUCAUUAUAAUAGCAACUAUGACUUACAAAGGCUUGUCUCAUGCAGUCUGCUAACUGUGAAGCAGAGUGAGAACAAGAGGAUGGAGCAUUUCUUCCUGAAUUUUACAAAAAAAGACACCUCACCAUUUGUCUUAAGCCUCCUCUUUUAACCUACUUUGAGUCCAGUGAGGUAAGACAUUAAAUUUGAAAAUAAACAGAGAAAAUGUAGCAAAGCUAACAACAAUGACUGAGAUUUAUUUCAAAUUCCAUGGAAACUUGACUGGACGUGUUCAUUUUCCAACUCUGGCUACAGAAGUAGACAAAACAGCAGAUAAAUAUUCUGGUCUCUAUGUGUACGUGGGACUGUUCUUAACACUUCUGACUAUCCUUCUCAUAUUGCUUUUCACCGUGCUUUUGCGCCUGAAGCACGUUGUUUCCCCAGUCACCAUGUCUCCAGAGAGCACUGAGAAUGUCCAGCAGUUCACAGACGUGGAAAUGCACUUCAGGAUUCCUACCACUUAGAGACCCCAAUGCAAAGAGGUGGUGGAAAGAACUUCUGCCUGCCUGUAUGAGCCCUACAACUUAUUGCAAAACCAUCAACAGCAGCACAGAAGUUCUGGUGAGUGUCAUGCAACUCAGACAGCGACUGGCUGGGACCCACUGGCUGUUGACACAGGCAACAUGUGUGUAAGACCCUCAAUAAAAUUUACAUUAUGGAAAUUAUUACUGUCAGACUCAUAUUCCUCAAAAAGCCCUUGCAUAAGAUGGUAAAAACUGUAAUCAUGAAAGCCAGAAUGUGUACUGGAAUCUAUAUUUGCUGUCCUAUCUCUCUACCCUUAAAUUCUUUAUCUGUGAAGAGACAAUUCAAAGUUCAGAUGUAAGUGCAAAAAUCCUACAGGGCACAUACAGAAAUAACUGGUGGUCUGGAAGUUCUCAGACAUUUCUCCGAUUUAAGAAGAAAAGCAUUAAACUUUUUCCUAUGUGAAUUGCAGAUUCGUACAAUGGAGAUUCAGAAGUAUACAAAUGUUUCAUCACCUGCUGGAACUAUUGGUUUCUUACAUUAAACUGUUCCCCGUACAGUUAACAGAAAGGGCACUUAUAAAAGAAGAAAGCUUCAUAAAAAGUUAUAAAUAAAAAGAAAGCAACAGCAGGAGAGAAAAGACACUACUACUCUUUCCUUGCACUCCUUUAAAUUAACUGAGCAGACUACAGAUGCAGUCAUAUCUUUCAGCCUUCCCAGUAUCACUUAGUAACUAAAAUGCAUUGUAACAUCUGGGAAUCAAGUGGACAUUGUUCUCCUAACAGUCAAAUUCAGAAUAACAUUCCACUUCAUCUUCACGUUGGGUUUUCUUUUGAGAAAGACAGAUCACUUCUUCUGAAGUUUUGUUAUUUUUCUCCAGAAAAAAAUUAAAGAAAUGCCAGGAUCUAGCACUGCAAUAACAAACAGUGUGAACAGCUUUGGCCAUACUCUAGUAGGGAACACUAGAUAGAAGCAAACUGACUGAGCACUAAAAGACAGGGGUGGAUUUAAAGAUCCUGGUGGCUCAGUUAGCAGAGCAAGGAGAAACAUUUAUUUAAAUUUAUGAAACAACAACCUGACCCCAAUCUUCUCACCUAUGAAAGACAUGCAGAUAAGCUUAUUUCCGUAGAUGUGAAAAACAGAAUAAAAUAUGGCAUAUCACUUCCACUAUAUCUUAAGAGAAAAACUUCAAACAAGAUUCUGCUACACCUCUAAUGGGCAUGGAUUUCACCCAGCUUACCUUGUAUUACAGAAUAGCUCUAGCAUGGUAAUAAAUUCCUCUGGUACUUUGCACAUUUAUAUACACUUAUUUGCCAAUUCACUUUUUCUUUAAAGUCCUGGAAAGUGUGUACUCCCCACAUAAAAACAUUGCUAAAAUUAGAGAUGACACUGAUUCCAUAGUCAGUGUCAGAAACAAUUAAAAUAUGGUAACAAGUUGUUUCUCAGAUGCUUUAUGUAUCUGAGGUUCUUCACUUACACUUUUAAGUAUGUGUAUGGGUGAGUUGUUUUGAUGAGAAAUAUGGCUUCUUUCGCCGAUUCUGUGGGGGGAGAAUGGAAUGACAUUUAUAUUCAUACUAAAUAUGGUCAUCCCACUGAUGUAUUUAGCACAAAGCUUUUCAAAAAAACUUUCUCCUAUUGAAUAGCACCAUUUAUAUAACAUUAACCUAAUAUAAGGUUUAGUCUGUAAAAUAGCAUGUUGACUGUGUAAGAGUAAUAGAGCAGCCAAUAUACAUUUACUUAGAAAAGUAGGCUAGAAAGCUAGAUGCCCUCAAGCUUUCUACCACAGUGGCAACACAGAUCACCAGGCAGGAUUGUUGGCUCCUCCAGGAAUGCUACUCUCAGCACUGCAAAAGAGUCCAAGUUCUAUGUGAAGGCAAUUUGAAUAUUAAUCCUGCUAAGACACACAGCUACUAAGUUAGUGUAGCAAUUGGAGAGAUCAACACGAUGGAAAAGGCAUUACAGAAGAAGUGGAAGGACCAGCACAACAGCACGGUGCUACAAAGGAAGGGAAGGAGAUGGCUCACCUGGAUCAGAAGAUUCUGGGUUCUGGGGAAAAGCUCCACCAAGGAAGGAUCUCCAGAAAGGGAUCCAUCCUCAGUGGCACUCAGCCCUUAAAUGAGGCCGAAGAGGGAUGGAGCCAGGCUGCACCCCUUCUGGUCACACAGGUGAAUUGCCUUCACUGUGCUCCCAGGGCUGACUGGGUCUUUCCUCCAGCUGCUCAAUCAGUGGUUCAGGCCAUGACUCAGCAGUUCCCAUACAGAUACUGAAACACUCCACUCAAGUAACCCCAGAACAAAGUAGUUUAAUUCACUUGUGAAAAGCUGGGGAAGAUCUACCCUCAAAAUUAAUAGGAGGGAUGAAUAGGAGAUAUUUUUUUUAAUCCUGCAUCCUGUAAAAGGCUCUGAAAGAGCUGGCACUAAUGGGGAGAGGAGAGUCCUGUCUUCCCUCUCUGCUGCCUAAAGCCAUAGCAAUGAGACUGUAUCUGUUCUGCAUCUUUUUCCCAGACCUUUUUAGUGCUUCUUGUUAGCUGCUGAGAUUUGGCAGGCCUUUCAUAAGCCUCCCAUUUUGAUCUCAAGAGGACAGGUCUGGCUCAGGACUAGCAGAGGAAUAGCACAGGCAGACUCUUGCCCAUAGCCACCACCUCCCCCUUAAAUGAGGCCUAAGAAGUCAGGCACCACCCCUUCUGAUCACCUGUGUGAUCAGGUGAUCACACAGGUGAAUUGCCUUCACCUGUGCUCCCAAGGCUGACUGGGUCUUUCCUCCAGGUGCUCAGUGAUUCAGGCCAUGACUCAGCAGUUACCAUACAGUUAGUCAAUGACACUUAAGUGUAAUGAAAACAUAUGGAGAUUAAAUUGGUUUGGUACACAUCAUGCAUUCAGCUGUCAGGGUACAGUCUAGCCCAGGGUCAACAUCCAGCUUGCUUUGUAUAACUUCCCAGUUUUCUUGAUGCUCCAUUUGAAACCUGUUCAUUUAUGAUUUAAUGGAACUACCAUACCAAAUCAACAACUAGAACACUAACCUUUCAGCACACUAUCUGCUGGAAAGCUUUCUUUCCAAGAAGCUGUAGGAAAGAUUCUAAUAUUAAAAAAAUCAAGGCUACUAAUGGAAAAUGACAGUACUGAAAUCUGAGCUGGCUCAUGGUCUGAUCUCAGCAAAAAAAAAAAGCCCCUAGAAAUAAUAGUCAGGACUGGGUUUUUGCCUUCUGUUAAUUCAGAAGAGUCCUGUAACCCUUUGAAAGUUAUUGAAAGAGUGUAUCAGAAAUAAAAGAACCACUUCUACAUAUCACUACAUCAUAUGUUGAGCAAACUGUCUGUAUUUGCAUGUAACACUACUAAGGAAGGCAGCUAUAUCUUCUAACACAAAAAAAGGCUACGUUUUCCUUUACAUUUCCUUCAUUUCAGACAAAGUAUCAGUCCAUUGAUACAUCUACAGUCUCAGUGGUAUUUUGAGUGCAUCAUUUGACUGUACAAUGCCAGCAAAUUUUAAACCUUGCAUUUCCUACUUAAAAAUAAAAGUAUGCUUUUCCUCCCUUUUCAUUUCCAUUUGUAAUGUUCAAGACACGAUGCCUCUACGAAAAGAGAUUGUUGAGGUGUUUUGAUCUGGGUUUGCUGAGGGGACAUGAGCAGGUUUUCUUGGCUACUAGGAACGCUAACUGUAACUUCUGCAUGGAUUUGCCAGAUCUGAAGAUAACACAUGCAUACCACUUCUCUCCACCAUUUUGUUCCCUUCUCAUUUAUCUACUACAAAAAGUUGAUUUUUUUUAAAAAACAAAAUAAAAAGACAUAAUACAAUCAA